rnacentral:rRNA from 1 species
AUGAAUCCACUAAUUGCUAUUGCUUCUAUUAUUGCUGCUGGAUUGGCUGUAGGGCUUUCUUCUAUUGGACCUGGAGUUGAUCAAGGAUAG